AUUGAACGCUGGCGGCAGGCCUAACACAUGCAAGUCGAACGAGUGGCGGACGGGUGAGUAAUGUCUGGGAAACUGCCUGAUGGAGGGGGAUAACUACUGGAAACGGUAGCUAAUACCGCAUACCAUCGGAUGUGCCCAGAUGGGAUUAGCUAGUAGGUGGGGUAAAGGCUCACCAAGGCGACGAUCCCUAGCUGGUCUGAGAGGAUGACCCACCACACUGGAACUGGGAAACGGGCCAGACUCCUACGGGAGGCAGCAGUGGGGAAUAGUGCAAAAUGGGGGCAAGCCCGAUGGAGCCAGGCCGCGUGUAUGAAGAAGGCCUUCGGGUUGUAAAGGACUUUCAGCGGGGAGGCGUUACCCGCAGAAGAAGCACCGGCUAACUCCGGGCCAGCCGGCGCGGUAAUUC
rnacentral:rRNA from 1 species